AUUGAACGCUGGCGGCAGGCUUAACACAUGCAAGUCGAGCGGUAGAGGGGAGCUUGCUUCCCUUGAGAGCGGCGGACGGGUGAGUAAUGCCUAGGAAUCUGCCUGGUAGUGGGGGACAACGUUCGGAAACGGACGCUAAUACCGCAUACGUCCUACGGGAGAAAGUGGGGGAUCUUCGGACCUCACGCUAUCAGAUGAGCCUAGGUCGGAUUAGCUAGUUGGUAGGGUAAAGGCCUACCAAGGCGACGAUCCGUAACUGGUCUGAGAGGAUGAUCCGUCACACUGGAACUGAGACACGGUCCAGGCUCCUACGGGAGGCAGCAGUGGGGAAUAUUGGACAAUGGGCGCAAGCCUGAUCCAGCCAUGCCGCGUGUGUGAAGAAGGUCUUCGGAUUGUAAAGCACUUUAAGUUGGGAGGAAGUUCAGUAAGUUAAUACCUUGUUGAAUUGACGUUACCGACAGAAUAAGCACCGGCUAACUCUGUGCCAGCCGCCGCAGUAAUAC
rnacentral:rRNA from 1 species